rnacentral:rRNA from 1 species
AUACGUAGGUGGCAAGCGUUGUCCGGAAUUAUUGGGCGUAAAGCGCGCGCAGGCGGUCCUUUAAGUCUGAUGUGAAAGCCCACGGCUCAACCGUGGAGGGUCAUUGGAAACUGGGGGACUUGGGUGCAGAAGAGGAAAGUGGAAUUCCAAGUGUAGCGGUGAAAUGCGUAGAGAUUUGGAGGAACACCAGUGGCGAAGGCGACUUUCUGGUCUGUAACUGACGCUGAGGCGCGAAAGCGUGGGGAGCAAACAGGAUUAGAUACCCUGGUAGUCCACGCCGUAAACGAUGAGUGCUAAGUGUUAGGGGGUUUCCGCCCCUUAGUGCUGCAGCUAACGCAUUAAGCACUCCGCCUGGGGGGUACGGUCGCAAGGUUGAAACUCAAAGGAAUUGACGGGG